AUCUGACUGGUACUCCCCAAAUUGACUGUUCAGGUCAUUGAAAGCAAGGAAAGCCUGAUAAACUGCCACGGCCACGAGGAGUCUAAGGACACAUCCAAUUUCCAUUUGCAUCCAAAAUGGAAUCUGAGACAGAAAGAGGACCUUAGCCUUCAUAUCUGUUUUUUUCUUAUGAAGCUUCUUCUGGUUGGAAACUUGUCAAAUUUCAUCAGCUUUAUGAAAACCCACCCACAGCAAACAUAGAGGCUGGCACAAGGUUUGCUCUAAAGAGGAAGAGAUCUAGGUGGGGCUGAAGAUGUAUCACUUCUCUUUGGAGAGUGCCCUGCCACAGGCAGGGACAAUCUUUCAUCUCUCAUAAAGGAAAACAUAAGGGAGGAGGCGCCUUCCAGUAAAUAUCCUCAGUUGUUUUCAUAUUAUAUAUAAUAUAUUCAAGGAAACAAUCACCCAAUUUCCCUCCCUGGAUUCCAGGGCUUGAGAUAUAACUAAUAUUUAAGUUUUGCAUUGCAGAGUGCCCUGAUAAUAAAGAACAAUUUCCU
rnacentral:sRNA from 1 species